UAGGGAAUCUUCCACAAUGGACGAAAGUCUGAUGGAGCAACGCCGCGUGAGUGAAGAAGGUCUUCGGAUCGUAAAGCUCUGUUGUUGGUGAAGAAGGAUAGAGGCAGUAACUGGUCUUUAUUCGACGGUAAUCAACCAGAAAGUCACGGCUAACUACGUGUCAG
rnacentral:rRNA from 1 species